GACGAACGCUGGCGGCGUGCUUAACACAUGCAAGUCGAACGAAGUGGCGAACGGGUGAGUAACGCGUAAUCAACCUGCCCUUCAGAGGGGGAUAACAGUUGGAAACGAAUGCUAAUACAGCAUACUGAAGGAGGGGAUUGCGUCUGAUUAGCUAGUUGGCGGGGUAACGGCCCACCAAGGCGAUGACCCGUAGCCGGGCUGAGAGGAUGAACGGCCACAUUGGGACUGAGGCACGGCCCAGACUCCUACGGGAGGCAGCAGUGUGGAAUCUUCCGCAAUGGACGAAAGUCCGACGGGGCAAAGCCGCGUGGGUGAUGACGGCCUUCGGGUUGUAAAGCUCUGUUAAUCGGGACGCGGUACCGGAAUAGAAAGCCACGGCUAACUACGUGCCAGCCGCCGCGGUAAUAC
rnacentral:rRNA from 1 species